rnacentral:rRNA from 1 species
AACGCUGGCGGCAUGCCUAACACAUGCAAGUCGAACGGAGAUUAUUUCGGUAAUCUUAGUGGCGAACGGGUGAGUAACGCGUAGGCAACCUGCCCUUUAGUUGGGGACAACAUUCCGAAAGGGGUGCUAAUACCGAAUGUGACAGUUUUCUCGCAUGAGAUUACUGUGAAAGAUGGCCUCUAUUUAUAAGCUAUCGCUAAAGGAUGGGCCUGCGUCUGAUUAGCUAGUUGGUGGGGCAACGGCCUACCAAGGCGACGAUCAGUAACCGGUCUGAGAGGAUGAACGGCCACAUUGGAACUGAGACACGGUCCAGACUCCUACGGGAGGCAGCAGUGGGGAAUCUUCCGCAAUGGGCGAAAGCCUGACGGAGCAACGCCGCGUGAGUGAAGAAGGCCUUCGGGUCGUAAAGCUCUGUUGAAGGGGACGAAUGUCAAGACUAUCAACAACGGUUUUGAAUGACGGUACCUUUCGAGGAAGCCACGGCUAACUACGUG